UCCUCUAUCAGGGUCCGGAGACUAGG
rnacentral:piRNA from 1 species